AGAUUGAACGCUGGCGGCAUGCCUUACACAUGCAAGUCGAACGGCAGCACGGGAGCAAUCCUGGUGGCGAGUGGCGAACGGGUGAGUAAUAUAUCGGAACGUGCCCAGUAAGUGGGGGAUAGCCCGGCGAAAGCCGGAUUAAUACCGCAUACGACCUACGGGUGAAAGCGGGGGAUCGCAAGACCUCGCGUUAUUGGAGCGGCCGAUAUCAGAUUAGCGUUGUUGGACGGGUAAAGCCCACCGAGGCAACGAUCUGUAGCUGGUCUGAGAGGACGACCAGCCACACGUGGGACUGAGACCGACGGCCCAGACCUCCGUACGGGAGCGAGCAGGUAGGGAAUUUGGAACUAGUGGGACGUAAG
rnacentral:rRNA from 1 species